ensembl:lncRNA
UGAGUUUCCUGUUUGUUUUUUUUACUCACUGACUCACCUACUAAUUUAUUUAGCUCCUGCAAAUAACCUACUCUGGAGAACCAUAAAGGUUUAAUGUUAGUCUUCUAAUAUUCCUAAGAUUGCAUAAAGAGGGAGGAUACACUAAUACAAAUGUCGAAACCAACAUUAGAAAAAUAAAUGAGUAAGAGCUACAGGUAUAGUAACAACAAUGGCAAAGUAUUAGUAAUGGUUACAACAAUAAGCAGUUCUUUAGCAGUUGUACAAGGAAGUGAAACAUUUCCUGGAAAAUGAAACAUAAAGGUGAGUGUCAUGGGUGUGGUGCACAUACUGAACUAUCUGUCUGACUGCUCAAACACGGUGAUCGUCGCUCUAGAAGGUUUUCUCGAAUUUGUUGAACCAUGGAAACCGGAACGAUCAGCGAAUCGAACACACAAAAGAAAGCUUUCACAAAGAGGAAAUGCAGUAAAAGUUACUUUCAACAAGAAUCAAAAAGAUUGAAGACUUAAGAUCAGCCGGUUUAUUAUUAAUCAAUUGCUUACUGGUAAAGGUAAUAAAAACAAAAAACUGGACAAUCUCUUUGUCCACAUUGAUGAGAUGCUUCAUAGCAUUUUCUUCCUCGGGUACAUUUAUAACCCCAAGUUGACUCCCAGUGAGUUCUUCAGAAAAUCUACAAUAGAUAAAUUGAAGGAAUUGUUUCCUGAGUCAUCACAAAAUCUUACACUUGAAUUGAAGGAUGAAUUGAUGGAAUUGUUUCCUGAGCCAUUUGAGAAGUACAAAAGUCAUCUGCCAACUCGCACACCCUUUUCCAUUCUGCUAAACAUGAUGGAGAUACUUUAUGGCACUGAAGACAAAAUAAAAGAAAAUCUUCAGCUUCUGCUUAAAGAACUCAAAUUCCCAUACCCCCUUCACAAGUCAGGCGAUGAAUAUCAGCAUUAUUACACACUGGAGGCGACAGUAAUCUGUGUGUGUUAUUCAGAAACUCAUUUACAAAAGAAGUACUACGGGGCAUCUCUUUCCUGCAGAUUACGAAAGGCAAAGAGAAUUUUGAUCGACCUGUCUUGUCUUAAAACAUGGCAUGAGUUUGUAUCUCAUGCAGUCAUGUCAUUUACUUCAGGAGAUCGGUACAAUGGCAUAACAUUCCCUGAGUCAGUGAAAUGUCAGGCGUACAUUAGAGACUGGAAUGAAAAUGUUUAUAGAAAAAGACGUCCAUGUUUAAAUUGUGCACAACUGUUUAAUCUACAAGAUGCAGACUUAGGUAGCGUGAAUCAUCCCUAUGGGAACUGUGCUGAGACAGAGUGCUUGAGCAAACUACUUUGCGAUAAUAAAGACAUACGAGAGAACACACGGAUGGAAAAUCAUACAGAGGAAAACUUGGAGAAUCUCAGAGAUUCAACAAAAGCACGCGUGCUAAAUGAUCUUGCUGAGGUUGGCAUUCAAAUGAAUAAUGAGAAUUUUCUCUUCUACAGCCCAAUGCCAAUGCCACCUUUCUAAGUAUACUAGUAGUUAUAUCAUACACUUUCUGUCAAACUGUCAAUCAAAGUGUUGUGUGUGAUAAUUUAUGACCCUCUGUGCUUCCCUGACUGACAGGUCUGUAGGGGUGGUGAGGGGGGUAACCCUAUGUAGUUUAUCAGAUGAUCAAUCUGGCUCCUUUGUGUCUGGGGGUGUUGUGGAGAGGUGUGUGUUGGGGGGGGGGGGAUAGUCCCCCUCCCAACGAAAGGUGUUUAUGUUAAUGAGUUUGGUUUUUGGUGGGGUAAAACACGUAUGAAAAUAAAUGAUGUUUUAAUAUGGGGAUGUGUUUGUGUUACUUUGUGGCGUUAUUUCGUUUGUGUAAACACAUUGUUAGAAAAGCAUGAUGUUUGAAUGUGUACAUAUAUGAGUAGAAUAUUUGUUUUGUGAAAUAAAUGAAAACAAUUGUUGAUUAUGUUUUUUAGGGAUCCCGUUUUACCUUUGAAUAAAAAGUUUAGAGUUAAAGCGUCUUUUUUUUUUUUUUUAAAGAAUCUGUUUAAAAUAAUCGUUUGUAUUACAUACAUUCUAAACACAAACCUUUAGGAUGUAAAAAUGAUCAAAAGAGCUGUUUAAAAAGAAUCCGUAUUACUAGGUUUCCAAAAAAACACAUAAAAACUUUAGGAGGUAAAAAUGGUUAAAAGAGCUGUUUAAAAGAAUAGCGCAUAUUACACGACUUCUAAACAAAGAUCCUUACGAGGUAAAAAUGUUAAAGUGCUGGUUAAAAGAUGUUUAAACUAGGAGAUUUUUUCCAGAGUUGUCUUCCAGUCGCUGUGUUAAGCAGUAAUGAAGUUAAACUGAGACACCUCACUCUCGCUAAACCCCGCCCACACAUACGUGUUUUCAGACACGCCCCUCUCUCUCUCUCUCUCUCUCUCUCUCUCUCUCUAAACACACCCAUACACGUGUUUUCAUCGUAGCCAGUAGGUUCUGUCAAAAUGUCAAUCACGGCGGUAGAACUAGAGGGCUAAUUUAUGGUUUGUGUUUUUCCUGACCGACAGUUCUGUAGGCACACCUAAUUUAUGGCCAGGGGUGGUGGGGGUAACCCUAUCCACUGUAUCAGUGGGUCUUUUUGGCACCUGUAUGUCUGGGUUGUGUCCUUCCAUUCCUGGGGGUGUGUGUUUUGUGUACUGUGGGGGAUCUCCCCCAACAAAUGUGUUUAUGUUAAUGACACUGUUGUGAAACGUGUUUCUCCCUGAAUUAAUCACACACAAAUGUAUACCUUUUUGUGGUAUAAGAGAAUGUUUGUUUCUGAACUUACUUUUGUGGUAUUGUUUUAUUUUGAAGCUUAAGGGUGGUUUAGGUGAAAUAUGUCUGAAAAGAAUAUCAAUGUUUAAUAUGAGCGUGUGUUUUUGUUACUGUGUGGGUUAUUUUGUUUGUGUAAACACAUUGUUAGAAAAGCAUGAUGGUUGAAUGUGAAUAUAUAUGAGCAGAAUGUUUGCUUGUGAAAUAUAUGAAAAAACUGUUGAUUACGUGUUUGAGAGAACGGCAUGACUUUGAAUAAACAUUUACUGAAAUAAAAACCCCUGAAACAGAUAAA